CAGGCUUAACACAUGCAAGUCGAGGGGCAUCAGGAAGAAAGCUUGCUUUCUUUGCUGGCGACCGGCGCACGGGUGAGUAACACGUAUCCAACCUGCCCUUUACUCGGGGAUAGCCUUUCGAAAGAAAGAUUAAUACCCGAUGGCAUAAUGAUUCCGCAUGGUUUCAUUAUUAAAGGAUUCCGGUAAAGGAUGGGGAUGCGUUCUAUUAGGUUGUUGGUGAGGUAACGGCUCACCAAGCCUUCGAUGGAUAGGGGUUCUGAGAGGAAGGUCCCCCACAUUGGAACUGAGACACGGUCCAAACUCCUACGGGAGGCAGCAGUGAGGAAUAUUGGUCAAUGGGCGCUAGCCUGAACCAGCCAAGUAGCGUGAAGGAUGAAGGCUCUAUGGGUCGUAAACUUCUUUUAUAUAAGAAUAAAGUGCAGUAUGUAUACUGUUUUGUAUGUAUUAUAUGAAUAAGGAUCGGCUAACUCCGUGCCAGCAGCCGCGGUAAUACGGAGGAUCCGAGCGUUAUCCGGAUUUAUUGGGUUUAAAGGGAGCGUAGGUGGACUGGUAAGUCAGUUGUGAAAGUUUGCGGCUCAACCGUAAAAUUGCAGUUGAUACUGUCAGUCUUGAGUACAGUAGAGGUGGGCGGAAUUCGUGGUGUAGCGGUGAAAUGCUUAGAUAUCACGAAGAACUCCGAUUGCGAAGGCAGCUCACUGGACUGCAACUGACACUGAUGCUCGAAAGUGUGGGUAUCAAACAGGAUUAGAUACCCUGGUAGUCCACACAGUAAACGAUGAAUACUCGCUGUUUGCGAUAUACAGUAAGCGGCCAAGCGAAAGCAUUAAGUAUUCCACCUGGGGAGUACGCCGGCAACGGUGAAACUCAAAGGAAUUGACGGGGGCCCGCACAAGCGGAGGAACAUGUGGUUUAAUUCGAUGAUACGCGAGGAACCUUACCCGGGCUUAAAUUGCAGUGGGAUGAUGUGGAAACAUGUCAGUGAGCAAUCACCGCUGUGAAGGUGCUGCAUGGUUGUCGUCAGCUCGUGCCGUGAGGUGUCGGCUUAAGUGCCAUAACGAGCGCAACCCUUAUCUUUAGUUACUAACAGGUUAUGCUGAGGACUCUAGAGAGACUGCCGUCGUAAGAUGUGAGGAAGGUGGGGAUGACGUCAAAUCAGCACGGCCCUUACGUCCGGGGCUACACACGUGUUACAAUGGGGGGUACAGAAGGCAGCUAGCGGGUGACCGUAUGCUAAUCCCAAAAGCCUCUCUCAGUUCGGAUCGAAGUCUGCAACCCGACUUCGUGAAGCUGGAUUCGCUAGUAAUCGCGCAUCAGCCACGGCGCGGUGAAUACGUUCCCGGGCCUUGUACACACCGCCCGUCAAGCCAUGGGAGCCGGGGGUACCUGAAGUACGUAACCGCAAGGAUCGUCCUAGGGUAAAACUGGUGACUGGGG
rnacentral:rRNA from 1 species